AGCGACGUAGCUCAGACGGAUAGAGCAUCCUUGCUUACUGCAUAUCAUAUUCUUGCGCUAAAGACAUGAUAUGAGCAGGAAGGUCGUAGGUUCAAGUCCUACCGUCGCUACCA
rnacentral:tRNA from 1 species